UACGUAGGGUGCGAGCGUUAAUCGGAAUUACUGGGCGUAAAGCGUGCGCAGGCGGUCUGUUAAGACCGAUGUGAAAUCCCCGGGCUUAACCUGGGAACUGCAUUGGUGACUGGCAGGCUUUGAGUGUGGCAGAGGGAGGUAGAAUUCCACGUGUAGCAGUGAAAUGCGUAGAGAUGUGGAGGAAUACCGAUGGCGAAGGCAGCCUUCUGGGCCAACACUGACGCUCAUGCACGAAAGCGUGGGGAGCAAACAGG
rnacentral:rRNA from 1 species